rnacentral:rRNA from 2 species
UACGGAGGGUGCAAGCGUUGUCCGGAUUUAUUGGGUUUAAAGGGUGCGUAGGCGGCUUAUUAAGUCAGGGGUGAAAGACUAUUGCUUAACAAUGGCAGUGCCUUUGAUACUGAUAGGCUUGAGUACAGUUGAGGCAGAUGGAACGGGUGGUGUAGCGGUGAAAUGCAUAGAUACCAUCCAGAACACCGAUUGCGAAGGCAGUCUGCUAAACUGUAACUGACGCUGAGGCACGAAAGCGUGGGGAUCGAACAGG